UCUGCUGCCACCACUGUCCUUGUUGUGUGUUUAUUUUGUUACUGAGAGGAAAAUGUGCAGUACAUAUUACAUAUUCUAUCGAACGCCUCUCUCAGCAGCGCAGAUGGCGUCGAGAUAUUAAGUGAGCUCUCAGAUUCAAUGCGUUUCCCGAGUUUUGGAUUUUAACAUGGCCUAUUUUGCAAACAAUAGACUAUUGUCGAUCUCCUUAGUGGUUUAUUUAUAGUUGAAGCCAAAAUGAGUCCGCACUUCAGCUCUGUAUGCCGCGGGAACGGAAUAAUUCUGUAAGCUGGGUUUGCUAAUGCUAACGCUAGCGAUGCACCUCGCGCUUCUCCGGCUCCGCGUCAAUUUACGUUCUGAGAUAACACUGACAUCUAGCGGUUGGGUUUUAAACAGUCUCUGGUUUAAACCGAACAUAAAGCCACGAAUCUUUGAUGUAAAUAAAUAAAUAUCGAUACAGCAUCGCCAAACAUAAUAUCGCGAUAUUCACGUGUAUCGAUAUUUUCUUACACCCCUAUUGAACAACCGGUUCCUUCAGGAAAACGUUCUUCUGAGGUAUCCAUUACUUCAUCAGAACCCCGUCUCGAAUGAAAUAACCCUGUGGGCCACUGUCAUCUGUCCUUACCUGUGAAAAUAAUACAUUCAGGGUGGAAUCUGCUUUUUGUUCCUUACUUAACUCACCCUGAGACACGGAGAGAGGUAGGCCUAUACAGUACGUGGCCACGGAAUACCUUCAUCCGCCACAAACGGUUCUGCACUUUUUAUAGUUGCCACUGCUCGACUGGCAUCAUGCGUAACAACACACGUUGGAAAAACAUCAGGUAACCUCUUUACACUCUUAAUGUCCGCAGUAGAAACAGGUAUAGGUGAAAUAAUCAAAGGUGACAACGCAUCACUCCAAACUCGCCCACCCGCCAGAUCGUUUCCCAAAAUCACAGAAACUCCUUUAACUGGAAAGUCUCACACCGAGUUUAACUUCACCCUGAAUCAAAUCAGAACACAAAACAACCUUAUGUAAGGUACAGACAUUUUAGUUAAUCCAAUUCCACAGAUUGAUAGCAAAUCACCAGUGAAAGUUUCCUUUGAAAAAGGCAACACAGACUCUAAAAUAAAUGACGUUAGAGUUAUUUUACGAAACGUGUGCGAUUUGGGUCUGCAACGUUUGAUCAGAUGUAUAAGGCCCAAAAAAUGUCCCAAAGUGUGUUUCCAGAGCUUAAAGUUAUUAAUUCAAGUGUUCUUGUUAACAUGAUAUAUGAUAAAAUGCUUUUUUUUUUUUUUUUUUUUUGAAGAUUAACAUACUAUUUUUAAUCAUUUUUUCAUUAGUACCUACAUAGCCAAUUUCACAUGUCCGUGUUGACCAACAUGAUAUUUGCAUCUAAAAUAUCACCAAAUAAGUUAUAUAUUUUUUCAAACAUAUACUACUUUCAGGAUUAUAUGUUUGUCCCUGUUUACAUAAAAUAUAUUUAUUCACAAUAAGCCUUAUUUUUUUGUAAAUAUUUUAUGAUUUGUGCGCGUCCCUCAGUUUGACUUAUCACCCCAUCACACUAACUUGUUUUAUUUAUAAAUAGGCUUGUUUGAGAUGCGCCUAGCCUCGCCUGAAAUGUAGGCGAGAGUAGGCGGCUGCAGUGAGGGGAGGAGUGAAAAAAGUGCAGGCAAGACGGACAGUUCUCUGUUCUCGUAGUGGAUCAGACACCUACAAGAUCAAAGGCGGAUAUCGCGGGAUUCACACUCGUGCGCUGUGUUGCUGAUAAACUGGAUGUAAUUUAAGGUCUGUUGAUUUUAUAUGAAAAUAAACAUAAUGAACAAUAGGCUACACGCAAAGUAGCCUACUUGUUAUUUAUUUCCAUUCAAAAGAUGUGUGUAUCAAUCAUUUUUACUUUAAUUAUAGACAUGUUUUUAUAUAUUUUUUUAUAUAGAGAGAUCGCACUGUCAGAGAGUUUGGGAAUAUUCGCACAUUAUUUUUACACAUAAAAACAUGAUAUAAGAGUUUUAAAAUCAAGCAUUUUAAAACAGUUCAAUACAUCACAGUUGUUUAAACCAAUAAGCAUAAAGCUGUGUCGUCAUCAAGUCGUUUCCCAUCGUGCUUUUGGUCAGCGCAGGCGGUGGAGAGCAACUGCGCUCGACUGCAGAAUGCGAUGAGGCCGCCUCGAUUUCGCGAGACUUUUUUUUUGACACACGUCGGCAUGACAUCAGAGCAAGGCGGCCCACCCUCGGACAUACUUCUAACCGGCAUGCAUCUUGCGGUGAUCACCGGUGAUCGGUUCCGCGCAGAAUUUGCUCAUCUCAAACAAGCCUAAUAAGGCACUGUUGCUUUAAAUGACAUCACAAAGCGGAAGUGACAUCAUUUGAGCCUUAUAGCCACCAAGAACAAAAGCAGGCAAUUACUGAUUUUUAUUUUUUUUUUUUUUACAUUGUUUAUUUGUUGCUUUUUCAUGGUCGGCAAGGCCCAUCAAGCUCAAACCAACCACCCCGUCAACGCAAAAUAGAUAGGAAAACUGUUUUUUUAUUUAAUUUUUUUACAUUAUUAACUCAGAGAAAAUUAUAUUUCAGAUUGAAUGCAUGUAUGCUAGGUGAGAAACUUGACCACAUGGGAGAUUUGCAGACAUUUUGGGAUGGAAUUUACCACCCCAUCACAUACCACCCCAUCACGUUUUAUUGUGACGGGGUGGUUCUGCUUCCCGUUUGAAUGUGAGGGUCACAGAAUUGAAAUCAAGGAUUCUUAUAUAUGCUAAUCAAUUUAUUUUGUGUUAACUUAACCCUGUUUGGUUCCAGGGUUGUCAGGUUUUUUCUGAAACCACAUAAAAUAUGUGUUUUUUGGCAGGGUACCCUUGGAAAAAUUAGCAUUGCAAGGGCUAAAUAUCAUGUUAUUUUGGGUCACUUCAACCUGAGAAUGAAAUGAAAAACAACCUGCGGCAACAGUGUAAAAGUAGCCCAAUUGUGGAAAACCACAGACUUGGCAACACUGUUUGGUUCACUCACUCACUCACUCACUCACUCUUUCACUCAGUAUCACUCACUACCUGUUUAAUGAAUAAUGUUACAACCAGCAGAUCAUAUAGAGAAACAUCAGUUACCAUCAGUUACCACCCCGUCACAGGGUAAUUUUGUUAAAAGUUUAUGGAAAGGAAAUGAAAUAUUACAUAAAUUAAUGUUGGAUGAUGUUCUUGUUGUGUGAACUAAUCAGAUAAAUGUAACUUUAUUUGUAUUUUUUUAAGUGAAUUCAUUUUUUCAGUACAAACAAUGAGGUCAUUGAAAUGUCAAAUUCAUAUUUCAAGAUUAAAAAUCUAAGAAUAAUAAUAAUAAUAAUAAUAAUAAACUUAUUAAAUUACAGACUUUCUAUUGAUGGUUUCCAAAAAAGUACUACACUCUAAAAACUCCUGGGUUAUUUCUUUAACCCAUUUUCUGGGUUAUUUGUGUUGGGUUAAAAUGAUGGGUUAUUUUUUCAGAGAGUAACCAUUUUCUGGGUUAUAGGGCUAAUAUUUUGACCCAAUUUCUGGGUUGUUUAGGUUUCUGGGUUAUUUUUCAAAGAGUAAUCCAUGUUCUGGGUUCACGCCCCUUCCCCCCGCCUGUUCUGGAAUUUUCUCACAACAGUCGUUUGAAAUAACCGUUACUUGAACUUCGCGCUCGAUCCGCUUUGGCCUGGGCUUCUUCGGUGCAACUUCGUCGCUUAUUCAAGGUAAGCAAGUAUUUUCAGUGUCAAUGUAACGUAAACUUUUCUGUGUCCAUGUCCCCGUUGCUAGUUUACCACCAUUUGCUGAAAAAAUGACCAUGGCUUACCGUGGUAAUUCUGUGGUUAGCAUGUAGCCGCCCGCGGAUAUCGCGACAACAUCUAACUAGUUUAAAGUCCGUGUAAAGUCAAAAUAAAUAUGUUUUGAGUUUGUCAGACUAAAGAAGAAAGUGUUAUUAACCACCCAGCCAAAUUUGAAUGAUUAAAAAUAACGAUAUGUUCAUGAAAUUAGGUGUCAAAAUGGUUGAAAUGCUUUUUACACAUCGUUGAGAAAUACAUGUAUGACCUAUUUAAUGUGUUUAGAAGAAAAUUACUGAAUUCACUUUACACGGUAUUUAAAUUUUAUUUUUCAUAAACUGUGCACUGUGUACUUAUCUCAUUGUUAUAAUACUGGUAAUAAUACGAUAUACAGUGCGGCUAGUGGCGACUUCAUGCCGCGUUAAGGGGGUCGAACACCGGACGAGAAGCGCCGCGUCUAGGACAACUCGAGGUAUCGCGUACUUUCUCAGUUUAUGGCCAGCAAUAUUAUGUUUAAGGACAUUAUGGGAUUAAGAUAAUGUCAGUACUAUGUUAUGAUUGUACUGUAUAAUUAAAUACAACCGUUGCUGAGUCUGCAGUCUGAACACUUUACCUCAGAGCGUCCGUUAACUGAAUGAAUUGAGAAUAUCACCUGAAAAUCCAAUAACAUCAGCAAUUUUCAUUCAAGUAGCUGAUUUCUGUAAAUUAAUGUAAAACUAAAUUUAAAUACCAGCACAUGGUGAAGUCUGUAUAUACAUUAACGACGAUUUGAGACAAAUAAGUGUAAAUUUAAUAUAAGACUAUGUACAUGGCGCUCUGUGGCGCUGCAGGAUUUUGAACAAGGUCCUGAACCAUUGCUGGGCGCCGCGGACAGACGCCGAAUGGCGCCGCCGGUGUGUGUACACUCAUAGAGAAUAAUGUGUUUGAAUUUUAAAUACGCUUCUCGUCCGGUGUGCGACCCCCUUUAGCCGCGACUAGAGCAACGAGGCAACACAAUAGUUGAGUUAUGUUAACCAGCUGCGCUGUGCUUAUCAUAUUAUACAGUGCUCUACUGGCUUAAGUAGUGAGAGUUAAAGAAGUGUGUCAAGUCUUCAAAUUGUUGCUAACCUCUGUUGCUAUGUUUUCUCCAGGUCAUUUUAAAUGGACAGCUUUGUCGCUGAUAAGCUAACUGAGUGGCGGCUGUCUGAGCUGAUAGAGAAUUUUAGAGGUGAGCGUUUUACUCUUAACUGCCCUCAUACCAUCUCUCUAUACCUAAACAUUUUUCUUUAAUAUGGCUUAAAUGUGUCAGUGCAAGAUUUUGUGACAGUCACAACUUCUUCGACAGUGGGGUUAUGCAGAGCCAACUGGAUCCGGGCUAAUAGCUCCAAGGACAUACUGGAACUCCUCACAGAGUACCCUCAUCUCACCAGUCCGGGCAUGAUAGCGCAGGACUUUCAGGUGCUGCAUGGUGAGGCUGCACCUAAAUUAUUUGAGACCUGGAUCCCUGAAUAUGCUGAAAAGGUCCUGUACUUGGCCAAGCAGGACAAUAAACUCCCUUCACUUUCUGUUGAGGACAUGACACUGGAUGCCAAAGGGGAACUAGCGCUAACACUGCUACCCACCAUGGUGCCACAGGCCGUCUACAGGGUUGGGAAGAAGACUAUCCGGCACUCCAUUGAAGAGUCCCGGACAGCGUUCAUACACCAAAUGCCUGUUGGAACAAAUAUGGUGGAAUACCUCCUGCAAUCGAAGCCAUUCCCCUCUGUCCUGGUGCUGGGAGAUCCCCAGCAAUGUGCUUCUCAGGCAUUUGUGAUAUUAGCUGGUCAGGCACUCCCUCAGAGCACACUGCUUGGGGCAGUUGACGUGUGCUUCAAGGCAUUUUAUGUUCUUGAUAUCAACUACCCCAAGCAGUGUGCUCCCGCAUGGGAGUUUCUGCCGCAAGUUGUGUAUCAGAUUGAGAAAUCUGAAUCAAAACCUGUCAAAUUUCUUAAGACUGCCUUGCUUAAUUGCAGAACUGUUUAAUUGUGUUAAGCUGCAGUAAAUGACACAACCAAUGUUUGAAGACUUUAAGCCUCAAGUUCAGUCCAGUGAUUGAAUGUUGUCAGAUGUUUGAGAGAGAAUGAGUUGUUUAUUUUUCUAUUUUUUCUAAUGUCUAAUGUUAUUACAGUGUGACCUAAAAUAAAUAGGUCCAAGAGUGUGUUUUUUAUAGAGAGUUUAAUUUAAUUUAAUGCAAUAAAAAAGUAAAAGU